AUUCCCUUUCAUUCGAUGAUGCAGGAUAAUACCGCCCCGGUUUGCCACCGGGAAUUCAGGAGAAUUCAUGUAC
rfam:Dickeya dadantii Ech703, complete genome.